GACGAACCGAGCGAACGUUGUUCGGAAUCACUGGGCUUAAAGGGCACGUAGGCGGGCUGUCAAGUCUGGGGUGAAAUCCCGCGGCUCAACCGUGGAACUGCCUUAGAUACUGACGGCCUCGAGGGAGAUAGGGGCGAGCGGAACUGUGAGUGGAGCGGUGAAAUGCGUUGAUAUUCACAGGAACUCCGGUGGCGAAGGCGGCUCGCUGGAUCUCUUCUGACGCUGAGGCGCGAAAGCUAGGGGAGCAAACGGG
rnacentral:rRNA from 1 species